rnacentral:rRNA from 1 species
GCGUGAGUGAAGAAGGUCUUCGGAUUGUAAAGCACUUUCGGCGGGGACGAUGAUGACGGUACCCGCAGAAGAAGCCCCGGCUAACUUCGUGCCAGCAGCCGCGGUAAUACGAAGGGGGCUAGCGUUGCUCGGAAUUACUGGGCGUAAAGGGCGCGUAGGCGGCCUUGUCAGUCAGGCGUGAAAUUCCUGGGCUUAACCUGGGGGCUGCGCUUGAUACGGCAGGGCUAGAGGUCAGAAGAGGGUCGUGGAAUUCCCAGUGUAGAGGUGAAAUUCGU